UUUGACCGAACCCAGCCACAGCGGUGCAUCGUCGGGACGCUCCCGGCCGUAGGUGUUCAUCAGCGCGCGCGCCUC
rnacentral:antisense_RNA from 1 species